rnacentral:lncRNA from 10 species
AGCCCACUCUAGGUGCCUCUCCUCCCACGUGGUGCAAAUCAGCCUCUGAACAACCUGCAGGGUCCCAGCACCUUCAGGAUGAAGCCAGAGCCCCUAACAACAGGCCAGAUGGGAGGGAAGGGAGGUUCAGAGAGGAGAGGCAGAGCCUUAGGAAGGUGAAAACAAGAGCAAGAGGCCUGCCGUCCCUCCCCACGCCCAGCUGGGCCUUCUCAUUCCCUUUCUGCAUGCUUGAAAUGACCUGUGACGCCUGUCUCAUCAUUGAUGGAUUUCCUCUCCUUGGAGCUGCCUGUGAGCUCCAGGAGGACCAGGACUGCAUCUGACCAGCUCUCUAGCCACCUCUCAGCCCAAUGCCCAGCAUGGAGGACAUUUCCCCCCUGAAGACAGAGUCUUAACUGGAAACAGGCCAGGCCAAAGCUUGCCUGAAUUUUCUGCAUCUGAGCGUCUGGGUGGGCAGCAGACAGCUGACGGGCUGGAAUUCCAGACGGGGAAGCCAGAGGAGCUGCUUUCUCAGCAACAGGAGGAAACAAGCUGCAGCAGCCUUCACCCAGCCCUGUCCCCACCUGUCCCCAGCCCCCAGAGGUACCAUAGGCCUUCACGGGGCCACGCCCAGGCCAGCUCUGCAGAAACACGCACCCAGCGUCCAUCUCUCUGCCCCCACCCCAGGCUCACUCUCUCUUCAACCCCUGGGCCUUCUGUCUCUGUCUCUCUGUUGCUCUGUCUCUUUCUCUGUUUCUCUGUCUCUCUCUCCACCCCCCCUCCCCCAAGUUGUGUGUGUAUCUGUGUGUGUGUGUGUGUGUCUCCCCAACCCCGCCCCUCUCUCCCUCCCCCUCUCUCUCUGCAGGGAUCUCUGGCUUUUUGUGUGUACCUCUCACUCUCUCUCUCUCUCUCCCUCCCUCUCUCUAGUUGUGUAUUUGUGUGUGUCUCCCCUCCCAUCCAUCUCCCUCCUUCUCUCUCUCUCUGCACAGACCUGGCUCUCUGUCUGGCCUGUCAUUCUGUCCCUGUACUUCUCCAUGUCCAUGUCUCUGGGCGUGUCAUUCCUCCAUCUCACUGUGACUUGGAGGGCUCUGCGUGGAUGUAGUCUGUCAUUGUCUCUCUUGAUCUGUCCUUCUCUACAUGUCUCUGAAUUUCUGUGUGAGCCAUUCUCUCCCUCAUUCAUCCUCUUCCGCCCUGAGAUAGUGUCAAGAGUGGACGUCCCACAACAGAAAGGUCUGGGGACCAUAUGUGGCCUUCUCUUCCCCACCACAGGGAAAGCAGGGGACCUAGUUCCGGCCUCGAACCUCCCUGGUAGGUAACCAGCUCCCGGGGCGCUGCCCACUACGGGACAGUCAGAUGUUAGAAAGGAGGAAAGUGUGAAGUCAGGCGGCCAA